GUUUACCUCCAAUAUCAGCAGCACAUAUACUAAAAUUGGAAUGAUACAGAGAAGAUUAGCAUGGCCCCUGUGCAAGGAUGACACGCAAAUUCAUGAAACUUUUCAUUAUUUG